rnacentral:rRNA from 1 species
UACGUAGGCAGCAAGCGUUGUUCGGAAUUACUGGGCGUAAAGAGUGUGUAGGCGGUGCUCUAAGUUCGGUGUGAAAUCUCCCGGCUCAACUGGGAGGGUGCGCCGGAAACUGGAGUGCUGGAGCGCGGGAGAGGAAGGCGGAAUUCCUGGUGUAGCGGUGAAAUGCGUAGAUAUCAGGAGGAACACCGGCGGUGUAGACGGCUUUCUGGACCGUAGCUGACGCUGAGACACGAAAGCGUGGGUAGCAAACAGG